GACGUAGGGCGCGAGCGUUGUCCGGAUUUAUUGGGCGUAAAGGGCUCGUAGGCGGUUUGUCGCGUCGGGAGUGAAAACCCAGGGCUUAACUCUGGGCUUGCUUUCGAUACGGGCAGACUAGAGGUAUGCAGGGGAGAACGGAAUUCCUGGUGUAGCGGUGAAAUGCGCAGAUAUCAGGAGGAACACCGGUGGCGAAGGCGGUUCUCUGGGCAUUACCUGACGCUGAGGAGCGAAAGUGUGGGGAGCGAACAGG
rnacentral:rRNA from 1 species